GAUGAACGCUGGCGGCGUGCCUAAUACAUGCAAGUCGAGCGAACGGACGAGAAGCUUGCUUCUCUGACGUUAGCGGCGGACGGGUGAGUAACACGUGGAUAACCUACCUAUAAGACUGGGAUAACUUCGGGAAACCGGAGCUAAUACCGGAUAAUAUUUUGAACCGCAUGGUUCAAAAGUGAAAGACGGUUUUGCUGUCACUUAUAGAUGGAUCCGCGCUGCAUUAGCUAGUUGGUAAGGUAACGGCUUACCAAGGCAACGAUGCAUAGCCGACCUGCGAGGGUGAUCGGCCACACUGGAACUGAGACACGGUCCAGACUCCUACGGGAGGCAGCAGUAGGGAAUCUUCCGCAAUGGGCGAAAGCCUGACGGAGCAACGCCGCGUGAGUGAUGAAGGUCUUCGGAUCGUAAAACUCUGUUAUUAGGGAAGAACAAAUGUGUAAGUAACUGUGCACAUCUUGACGGUACCUAAUCAGAAAGCCACGGCUAACUACGUG
rnacentral:rRNA from 1 species